ensembl:lncRNA
GUCCACAGCUACUGGAUUGAUUUUACUUGGAUACACUUAGGUUUUUUUUUUUAUUGAGGCGUGUUCAGCAAAAAGUAGGGUGCUAGGUUUGGCUACAUCAGACCAAACAGGGCUUGAGAUGCUGGGACACAGGUCUGUACAGAGAACUCUGAAACAGAAAGCAAGUCAGAAGAUAAUUUCUCUUGAAGGCAUUUCAGGCACCUGCCGUUCCAAUUGGGCUCUUUUGGAAAGAAGCAUCCAGUGGGAUGAAUGCAAGAAUCAAGGCAGAAGUAGUUUGAUACGAUUUGGAGUUUCAGGACUGCAUGCUGAACUCAGCCCUAGUGCUCAAGCUUUGAGAACAUUCAAUCCUUGCAGUCUGUUCUCCUACAACCUAUAAUGGCCUCAUGGGAGCUACAACUAGUCAUUCGCACAGCUCCAGUGUUGAGCCAGAAAUCUCCAGGUUUCCUGAGGGCAUCAAUCUCUAGAUUAGAUAUUGAAAGGCUGCUCUCAGAUCUCCCCGGGGCCUUCUCUUCUCCAGUCUGAACACCUCCAGCUCUCCCAGACUGUCCUCACAGGGAGGUGUUUCAUCCCUUGGAUCAUUUUUGUGGCCCUCUUCUGGAUGUGCUCCAACAGACACGUCUCUCCUGUAUUGACUCCAUGUCUGGAUGCAGUACUCCAGCAUAGCUUCCAGGAGGAUCUGUUCCAUGACCUUCCUCACCACAGAGAUGAGGCUGACAGAGUUUCUUCUGGGCAGGAUGGCAAGAGCUGAAUAACAACUUAUAAAUUGGUUGCUGAAUGAAUAAGAGGCUUGUAUACACGUACUCCUGCUGAGUCUGGCCAUAAGCAAUCACUGGGAGAUGGAUAACUUUGGAAGUUCCCUGCAGAGAAGAGAGAGAGAAGAGCAAGAGCUGAGCUAAUAGUAUCAGCAGAUGAGAAGAGGCAAGAGAUGCACACAGCUUCACUUCUGGUAUCCUUGCUUGCUCAUCUGGCCAUUGUCAAGGCAGCUGUCAUCCGGGAGCCCUGGAGCUGCAAUGCAGAAGUAAGUAUCACUACCUUCAAUUUUACAGAUCAGAAAACUGAAACAGAAAUGUAAAAUGAAUCACUUCAGAUCUACUUUUCUUGUGGUGCCAUCAUUUAUAAUGUUCAGCUCUGAUCCGCACAAGUUUAUCUAUUUGACCCUAGUGCUUUUCUGCCCUUUUGGGGGGCAUUUCUUUGAUCAUUGUCAGCGUAUAUCCUCUGACAGAGCCCUGUUAGAUUUGCACAGUGGGGAGAUAAAACAAUGAGUGUGUAAGUACAGACAUGUAGCUCAUCACAAUGACAUGGCAGUAAUGCACUGAGUUCAGCUCACCCUGGAAGAUGGUCUGAUCCUUGAUAGAUUUAUCACAGCCAAAGACGUGAUUACCAAUCCCACUGCAGAUUUCUUCUAAGUUACUACUUUUCUUAAAGGCACAACGUGUCCCAAUACUUUCUGUUAGAAUUGUGAAUACUUUUGUUUCUUCUUGAAGACCCAAUGGAUUUUUUUCCAUAAACAUUUCUGAAGCCCUUUGAUUCUGGGAGGCCAUUCCAGCACAUAUAAUUUUCUCAAAAUCUUAAUCACUUUACAAAAGCAGUUUUUCUACAUCUCUGUGCCCAGAGACACUGCUGAUGCCCCAUCCCUGCAGGAGGGUUGGAACUAGGUGAUCUUCAAGCUCUCUUCCAACCCAAGCCAUUCUGUGUUUCUGCGAUAUUGUGCAGUUGCAAAUAUUCCUGUUGAACGCUUAAUUCUCUGUAGUAUUCCAACUUAGAUUUCAUCAAAGCGAGUAGAAAAAUUGAAGUUAAGUUCCUGUUACACAUAAAAGUGAAGAACAUAAGGGUUUUAAAAAAGAACAUAUGGAUACAAAUGUACAUAUUUAAACAAACAUGUUCCAAUCAGCUCAGAUUUUUCUGUUCUUUCUCCUGUGAUCAAAAUGUGAUAAGACACGGUGGAUACUGAAGUCCCUACAGGGCCAGAUCUGAGUCUUGCAAAAGAUGUUAGGAAAAUUUCCAGUGAUUUUUCUGAGUCUCAGACCAGAUCUUUGUUGUUGCGAAAACAUCAGUGAACAACAAUUCAUCUGUGUGCAAAACUCCUGUAUGUAGUUCCAGAUGCCAAAAAUUCUCUAUGCAAUUUCAAUUCUAUUUUGAAUGUAUACUUCUUCCGCUAAAUGACUUAUUAUAACCUAUGCAAAAUAACCUUAACAAAAUACAAGAAAUGUACAGCCAGGACAGUGAAUCUGUAGAGGUGAGAACAUGAACAGAGAAUUUGCCAUGGAAAUGAACAUUGAUUUUUAUGCUUUCUAUUUUUUUUCUGAUGCAGUUCUCAGAGAAUAAAUAGGAGACUCAGUUUUAAAGGGAACGGUGCUAGUCAGCUUAUACACCGCUUUCUGAGAUCCUUCUCUCAAUGUACAGGGAAAUAACUCAGUUACUAAGUACCUUAGUGUCUCCAGAGUUACAGCACCUAUGUGAGAUGAGAAUCUGUUCCUGCAGUAUGUCUUUAAUAUCAAACAUUCAGGCAAUUCAAGAUUUUAGCACUGGAAUAUCCAAAUCUCAUAAAGAUGAGUAAUGCUAUGAUUGCAGAUGUCUUCUGUGGUGUUCAUGUGCUGCUUGUUUGUGGAGAAGGAUCAUUUUUAUACCUUAAGAAAGAAUAGCCAUCUCCCUGAGGUACCUUCUAAUGAUGCCACAAGCGCAUUGCAAUACAUAGUUAAUGGCAGCUUUGUAUUGAUAAUGGACUUCUAUGAAUCAUGAGGAGCAUUAAAAAGAAAACACUUUCUUAUCUGUAUGUUCAGAUGCUUUCUAAUUGCUCACGUGUAUUUCAAAUAACUUUGCAAUUCCUUGUAUUGCAUUAUUCAGAUUUCCUAGUGUCUCACAGAAAAAUAAUUGAAACGCAACCAAAAGAUUUGCACACCAUUAUGGGGAAUACUUUGUUCUUCACAUUCUGUAUCUUGUUAAUAAAGGAUAAGAACGUGCACAUGUACAUUGCCCUCAAUUUUAUUUUCUACUUUCAAAUGUAGCUAUUUUUCAUCUGUAAUAGGUUGUAGAUGUACCAACUUCUCAAUAACAGUAGAACUGAGGGGAAAAACAUAGAGCAUUAAAACAACAAGAAAAAAUAUUGAGUAUUUUCUGGUGAAGCGGAUUGUGUUAGAAACUAUCAUUCAAAUUCCAGUGAGAGCUGAGGACUUCCCAGAUCUCACAUUCUCAACACAGACUGUAGGGCUCACUGUUUCCUGUACUGCACAGUCCUGGGGAUGUUCUACAGCUACUGACAGCUAUAUUUGAAGUGCUGGAAGAUUUAAAGGAAAAUACCUUUAUAAGAACACUUGUAUUGUUCAUCUUAAUAUUUAAGCUAAAAUGUCCCUUGUUUUCUUGUGGGGAAAAAGAACAUGAAUGGAAAGAAAAGAGCAUGUGAUAGGUGCCAUCUGUUCUCUCUUUCUCUCCCCCUUGCUCUCCCCUCUCCCAUAUUUUUCCUCUAAAAAAAAAAUAUAUAUAUAUAUAUAUAUUUAUAUAUAUAUAUAUAUAAAUUGAAAUUGGUAACUGUGGUUACCUGCCAGGCCUCUUUCAGGGAACAAAGUGAGACAGAAGGGUAGCAGGACUGUGGGUUGCCUGAGGGCCUAGGGAUGAAAUCUCACUUCUGUGCUAGAUGGUCACAACUCUUGGCUAUUCAGUCAUGAGACAGCAAAGGCUUUCAAGGAUCAACAACAAAUUUAUGGUAAAGCAAAAGCAAGAAAAGAUAUGAGGAGUUUCCUGCAAGAGGAUAUUUCCAACAUGAGCUUGUCCAUCCACUGCUGCUGGAAAAGACAAAUUUGCAAAAUUUCAGGCUCUCAAUAGGUCAUCCAGUCUUCCUCCUACAAACAGAAUAUCUGCUCUGGUCCUGACAGUUGUUUGUCUAGUCAGUACUCAAAGAUCACCAUUGAUGGAGAUCAUUCUGCCUCCAGGCAAUCUGUAUUCUAUAUCUCUUUUCCUGAGAGAUUUUUCUUUGUAUGUGUCUUGAAUAUUCUGUGUAGCUGCUACUUGACCUAUUCACUGAGGACAUGGAAAAUAUUUUUUCUUUUUUCAUAAGGAGUUUGCAAGUCAACACACCUGAUGGUUUUUUUUGUUGUUGUUUUUUUGUAUCUUGCAUUUUUCAAUGUGUGAUGUGUACCAGUAAGAGCAAUAAUGGGAAUUCAGAUCUGAAAACAGUGCCUGACUCUACUGUACCAUCAAUUGUCAGCUGUGGAUGCUAAAAGACCUAAAAGUUUGAAGUUCAGACUGGAGUUCAGAUGGUGUAUUUUGGCUGGGGUCCAGCAUUACUAGAAAUCCAUCUUGACGUAGAGAGAGCAGCCGUAACAAGCUGGGCUGAUGGGCUGCCAGCCAGGCUCUUCUAAAGUAGUGGAAGAAACCUGUUUCAUGAGUUGGGUAUAAACUAUUUAACAGAGCCAGAGACAAAAUGCAUCCCAACAUCAAUGUCCAGGAUUACCAGCUGCUCACACAGCUUGUCUGGGGGCAUCCAGAAUGCCAGGAAAUGCCUGGUAGCUGUCGUGUAUGUGUGUGUGUGUGUGUAUAUAUAUAUAUAUAUUCUGUGAGGCACAAAGAAAUUGCAUCAAGGACUUUCAAACUACAAAACAUCAGAAAAUGCUACGAAAUACUUUUGGAAGUCAAAAACACUUUGAGGAGUAAUCUCGGCCUCAUAGGACAGCAUCCAUGAUGCUGGACACUUGGUUCCCAUUCCAGUUUUUGCCACUCAAGUAUGGAUGCAAAAUACAGAGGCAUAUUGUCUGCUGUCAUAACUCAUCUGCGAAGCAGAUGUUUCUUUUGGGGGAAUUAUUCAUGCUAAAGAUCACACUUCAAAGUAAACAAUAAUUGUCAUUUGUUGCCUGUUAAAAAAAGAAAAAAAUGAAAGCUGGAAAUCAAACUAAUGAGUACAUUUCCUCAAGGGAACAGACAGAACUGGGAAUAUGAUCAUUUUGCAAAGCUUCUGAUAAAUACAUAGGUUGCUCUGAAAGAAAUGCUGCUUUAUUUCUGUGGCAACUACACUGGAUGCAAAGAACACGAUAACACUGAUAGAGCACAUUUUCAGCUACAAAACACUUUUUCAACAUAGUCACCACCAUUAGCUGUGUAUUUUUGCCAACUAUGAAGAGGACUCUGCGUGCUGUGCACAAAAAAUUCUGCACAAGCAGAUGCGACCCACUGUUUCACAGCUGUUACGGUGGCAUCACUGCUAGGAAAAUGUUGCCUACGCGGUCCGUCUGAACAGAUGGAAGUUGGAAGGCACCAAUUCCAACUGUAUGGUGGAUGUGGUGGGACAGUCCAGCCAAGAUUGACAAUGUGUUCCAUGGUCUUCAAACUGGUACAGGGCCUGGCGUUACUGGAUUGUGAGAGAAAUGUUGUCGUCUUCUCUGGCCUGACUCUAUUAGUUUGAGCCCCCAGCUCAGUGAGCAUUGUGAUGUAGCAGUCAGGAUCUGCACUCUACCUUAGCUUUGUGAACCCAGUUCUGGAUAUAAUGUCUCAAUUUACACAGGCCAGGAAGUCUGCAAAGAGAGUAAGCUACAGUAGAUUUUCUGAUGAGCCACUGCUUUACAGCCUCCUGGUUAAGACUUCAUUUCAGGAAGCUAAUAUGACUUUAUAAAAACCAAAAGUAGCUGCAUUUGAACUUACUAUAUGGUUUAUCCCACAGGACAGUUCUCAACUACCUUGAGUCAAGUACAGGUUGAAUGGUGGCCUCUAAGAGUUCAUGAAUAACAUGGGAAAUCAGACUUGUCAUAUGGUUCUGGGACUCAGACACUGUGUCUCUACUAAUAAGUUAAAUGGUGCCAAGGAACGUUCCCAGGAGCUGGACCCAGGCUGUCUGUCUGUGUAGCUGCACUGCCAGAGCGAUCCUUUUGCCAUAGAGAUGCAGACCUCUAUUUUGAUAUUUGAUAUUUUGGAUUUGCUGAAUGACCACAGCCAACAAAAUUAUUUCAUCAGCUAGUUUCUGACCUUUAAUAUCUGACCAUAUAUUUUAAAGUGUGAGAGAUACCUAUUUUACAUUUACUCCAGCUCCAUAAGGAAUGCUGUACGGACAGGAAUUCAGCAGAAAAUUUCCACUUAUUUACCAUUUACUGUCACUGAAAUUCAAGAAGUUAUUUCAAAAAAUGAGGAAAAAAUACUGUGAUUUCUACUAUUUGUUUCUUCUUGGAAGUUCCAUGGAUCAUUUAUCAAUGAACAAAAGGCUAAUUAAAAGGCUAGACCUAGUGCAAUUACUUUGAUGAACUUUGAGAGUGGUUGUUUAAUGCCAUAGCCUUCAUUAUGUUAUGCUAAAUAUGUUCUCUGCAAGUUUGCAUCCCAAAGAUGAUGCUGUUUUUGUUGGACUAGCUUGAGGAAAAAUGCUGUAUGUUUGAGCUCUUGGGAUGAGUGUCUUACUUGGAAGGUAGGAAGAAAAUGUUGAUGUUCUCUGGAUUUGUGUGUGUUAAAGCUGACAAUUCAAGACAUGUCUGUGGUAGUUUUAUUCCUUAGCUCCUAACAGAAACCUGUCUCCCUGAGCUGAUUCCAGAUUUAUAAGCACAGUGUGUACAUUGUUACAGCACAGAGCGCAGGAUAAUUAAACAGCUGCUUAGCACUGAGCUCCUUCAUUCUUCAAUAAGCAGAUGUUUUGUCUUGUUGCUGAUUUCAAACAACCCACGAUAACAUACUAUAUGCAUAGCAUUACUCAUAUUUUUAAUAUUUUGGUGCGUUCCUAUCCAAAGAUCAAAGCUCCAUGCCCCAUUACAUGAGGUUCUGCACAGGCCGUUAGCACAGAAGAGAUCUUAAGUGAGUGCCAAUCAGUGCGUCUCCACUGAAUCCAGGGGAGCAACAGCAGUUCGCGCUGGCUGACAUUUCCCUUGCAGAUGUCAGACGAGAUGCCAUGAUUUACAUACCAAUGGCGGUGAGUGGGAGGAUGAAGUAACAAGAGGAGCAGAAAUGUGCAGGGAUGCAGAAGUCGGAGCUUGCCAUUUGCCUUUCUCCUGCAGCUGAACAAUGGCAAUCUGAGUUAUUCAUUCCCAUCCACCUCUUAACAACAGGAUUCGCUUCUGAUGAUAUCUUGUGGCCUUUUGAGUAUGUUAGCAGAGGAACUAGAUUCUUUUCUGUAUUUGCCUUCUGUGUUAUCAGACACAAUAAGCAAUUCCCAAAAGGCAGAUGAGGUGAAUAAAGCAAAGUAUCAGGUUAAAUGAUGUAUAUUCCUUAUCCAUUUAGGAAGGUGUUUAUGCAUCGUCGUUUUAUGCUUUGUAUUUGCUGGAUUUAUGAGUGGCAUUUGUGUGCAGAGCCAUGAAAGCAGAUGGAGCCCCAAAGGAGGAGCCCUUCUAUCCCACCCUGUUUGUGGUCUCCCUGUCUGCUGCUGAAGCUGCUUCCUGGGGCAGUGCGUUCAGCAGCUGCUAAGAGCGUGUAAAUAGAAGGAGAAAUGUUAUAAAUGUCAGGAAGUGGCAGCCAGACUGUUCCAAGGUUGCGUACUGCGUGCUUGUGAAGCAAGAUGGCCUGACUCCAUUAUCAGUGUUGUCCAUCAAACGCUGAUUUCCAAAGGUCUGUAUCUUCCACUUACUGAUAUUUCCAUUUGUGUACUUCACUGGGAAGAGUUUCAGACAAUGUUGAUAAUUUUGGACUUCCUGAUCCUUAGGAGGAAUAAAUUUGCCCUGCUAGGGAACGCACUGUUCCUAUCCCUAACUGAGUUAUACGCAUUCGUACGUAAUCUCAGUAUAACUAUAAUGGGAAUACAAUUUAUACUUUAAUUUAUGCUUGUUCUCUGGUUGGGAAAAUGCCCAUGAACUGUGAGGAAGCAGAUCUGCUUGUUCUAUAGAUAAACUGUUGUUGUAUGUGGUUCACAUCCUGCAUUUUUAUGUAUCGUUCCAAUUCCUCAGCUGUUUCCAAUUCAUGUACCUUUCUGAAAGUGAAUGAAGCAGCUGUGCCAAAUUCAGAGCCUGGCUGAGUCCAGCUUCAUGUCUGGAGGAGCUGAAUUUCCCAAGGCUGGUGCUUCACCAUUAACUGAUGCAGAAGAAAUUAGAAUUCCUCUUUCCCUUUCACAUAAUGGCAGAAUUCUGAAAUUAUUGUGUAACAUGCCCUUCCUCCCAUUACACGGUCUUCAUUCUGUUCACCAUUAUUUUUAAUAGACCAAUUUUCUCUCUUGCUUUUCAUCCACCGAGUCUUUACUAUUAUUAUCAUCAAAGUGUCUGUGGGCUGCCAGCAUUUGAUAUUUCAUUUCACUGAUUUAAUUAUGUCUGCAGCCUGUUCUGGGGCUGUUUAUUUUUAUAGAUCUCCGAAUCCUCUUCUUUAUCAAAUUGUUUACAUCUGAAUCCAUUUGUUCACUGUUUAUAUGUCACUUUGCAAUUGUAUCCUUUUGUACUUUGCAUUUGUUCCUGAGGGGUGUUUUAGUUUGAUCAAAUUUUACAACUUUGCAGGCAGACAACUAAAAGGAGAUCUUCCUAUCUAGGGGUGAAAGGCAGCUCUGGACACAGCUAACACCAUCUGCUUUUUCACUUUAUGCUUCCUGUGGGCAUAUGUGAGCAUGGAGCCACGUCUGUUACCAGCUAUUGGGAACUGACAGCUCAUGGGAAGCUGGCAGAGUGUUAGAUUAAAGGAAGAGAUGUUUUACACACCUUGCUCUUCCAUGUGCAGUUUACAUAGGGUAUAAAUACAUAGGUAAUGUAGGGUAUAUGUAAACAGGGUGUUUACUGAGCUUAGUUUAGUUUCCAAAGAAUGGAGGUUCUUUGGCUCUGGGCAGCCUGGUCUAGAGGCUGGCAACCCUGCCUGUGGCAGGGGGGUUGAAUAUAGAUGAUCUUUGAGGUCUUUUUCAACUUUUCAACCCAGGCCAUUCUAUGAGUCUGUGACGCUUUACUGCAGAGGGUUGCAGAAGAGGAUGACAGCUUUGAAUUUUGCUGACUGACCUCCUGUCACUGCAACUACUUUAGUAGUGGUGAUGCACGUAUGCGUGCACGUGCUGUAGUUCUGUUGAGUUUCUUGCUUCUACUAUAAUUAAGAGUCCAUAAAUAAGUGCUUCUAAUGCACUUGACUAGAGAAAGUAAUUGCUAUUUAAAUGGAUAAUUUAUUGUGUGCUAAUUAAAAGCCCAAUAGGUGAGAACAUUUUAAUGAAAUGUAACUUAACUCAAUAAGGAGGUUUUUAAUAAUCAUUAGUUGCCUGAAAUAUACCUGAUGCAGCAGUUCUCUAAUGACAAGCUCUAAUUGAUGUUUUUAACAUGUAUUUAUUGUGGAUAAAUUGCUAUUUUGUUGUAUAUCUCUCUUUCCCUGUCUUUCAAAUGCACAGCUUCCCAGCUGGAGGCCCCAUUGUGCCUUAUUACAGUCUAUUCUUCCCUGCUUUGGCAACCCCUUUUGCUGGUCAACUCAUCUCAGUUACACUCGCAUGAAGCAGGAUGUGAGCAAACAGAUGUGGGGAGCUGCCAGUUUCUACCAAAGAAAAGGUGCUAGCUUUUAAUUUCAGUUGACUAUUAGAACGUACAGUAGAGAUCUGCCUUCUUUCCCUGUUUGACUUACAGUAUGAGGCAAAGAAACCCUCGAAGUGUCCAGGGUUCCAAGUGCUCAUCUUAGAGCAGAAUGAUUAUGCAAAAAUGGUAAACCUCAGUGUCUCUAGGUAAUAAAUUUCACUUUCAAAGAAGGAAGCUUAAGAACAGGCUGGAAAGUGAAUGUGCCUCACACAAUGGAGCAGCGUGCCAGCUUUGUUUGAAUUGAGCAACCUGGAAGAAUCUGAGCUGGGAACAAGUAGCAUCUGAUUUAAGGACUGAGAGAGUAGAUGGCUGAUUUUCUUCGCAAAAAUAGCAUGAGAAAGCUGUACUGACCUUUCCAGGAUGAGAGGUAAUGGCUUAAAUUGCCCCAAGGGAGGUUCAGGUCAGAUAUCAGGAAGAAUUUCUUCUCAGAGCAAUGAGGCAUUGGCACAGGCUGCCCAGGGAAGUGAUGGAGUCACUGUCCCUGGAGGUGUUCAGGAGAAGCAUAGAUGUGGCACUGAGGGACCUGGUUUAGUGGACACGGGGGGGAAUGGGUUCGUGGUUGGACUGGGUGAUCUUAGUAGUCUUCUCCAGCCUUUAUGAUUCCAUAAUUUCACUGUGCUUUUCUGGUGUCUUUUUCCAGCACUGGGCAAUGACUGUUCUUAUGUUUCUGAGAAUUUAAAGAAUGGUCUUCUGAGACUGAAAUGCACAGGACGUAGAGCGGAGGCUGUUAGUAGCUCUGGUGGGAUGGGGUAACCCUUAAAAAGUCACUGCACUUUCCUGGGCCUCCUUUUCCCCCACUGUUAAAUGGAGAUAACUACAUGUUUCCUUCAUGAAGCCAUUUGGUAUGUCUUGUUGAAAAAUCUAUAUAUAAGUGUUCAUCAUUUUUGUCACUCAGGCACUGAUAUAGGAAUUUCUGGAGCACUCCUACAUGUUGAGAAUCACACUGAUACUGUGGAUGAGAAUAUUAAAUUCUGGUGCUGAACCUGGCUAAUUUGAAAAUGACGUAUUUUUCUAGAGUGAUGCCUCAGAUGCAUCUUAUAUAAGAAAAUGAAUUACAUUUAUAGCUAGAAAGGACUGCAGGAUUUUAUGAUCAUCUCAGCACUCCUGUAUUUAGUAAAUUAUCUUGUGUUUGAUUAUGACAGGGUACCUCUUGGCUUAUGUCAAAGUUCUUGUUUCCUGGAGUUCUCCCUGUUUCCUGGAAACUAAACUCUGGUGGAAAGCAUUUGUUACUUUGGUUGUUUUUUUUUCUUUUUCUUUUUUUGGUCUGAUUUGUUUGUUUGGGUUUUUUUUUUUUUUUUUUUGUCUUUUAAGUCUAAACAACCCAUUGGUCCUACAGCUCUUUGGUUCCUGCCACUGAAAGGAGAUACCCAUAGAUUAAAUAGUUAAAUAUGAAACCCCCUUGGGGUUUGAUCUGAUGAAGAUGAUGCUUAUUUAGAGAAGGAGCAAAUACUUUAACAAGUACUAUCCUGAUGAACUAUCUAACUUGACUUCUGAGAAGUAACUAUUAAAUGGAGAGAAGAAACCAUGAAAUGUAAGAGCGAGUUUGAAUGCUGGUAUCAUAAUCUGAUCGUAGUCAUGCAUCAUAAUUAAAUGUUAAUUUAAUUGUGGGCUUCGGAUGUCAUGUUUGGAAUUCUCAGUUUCAAUCCAGUUUUUAUUAAACAAUGAAGAACCUUCUGAAGGAUUCAGAAUAACAGUUCAACAAAUCAAGUCAACAAACAGGGAUCCACUUUAAGGUAAGAAAGAGAAAAUAGUGGGCAAAAGCUGAUAGAGUGCACUGGAUGCAGGCAGAAUAGUCAGAGGAAAACCAAUAGGGCAUGAUUUGGAGAGACAGUAUCUUUCACACAACCAAUAGCAUUUGGAGAAAAUGAACAAGCUUUCAAGCACUUAAAUGCUUCCGCAGGUCUGGCAAAGAAAACAAAAAACUUGAAGCUUUGUCCGUCCUGUAAAGAAAUUAGCGUUUAACUUAAGAUAAUCACCUGGACAAUUAGGGAGACAAAAAGGUGAACUCCUUAGCCAUAACGGAGCAUCUGGGGAUACAAACAAAAAGUCAAGAGUUAAUGUGCCCCUGCAAGCCAGAGAGAGAGGGAGUGGGAGCUUAGAAAGAGCUCUUGGGAAAGGUGGGUACCACCAAACCGUUGCCUCUGCUGGCUCCACGGGUUUUAGUGCCUGGGAGAACUCUGAAUUUAAUGUCCCAAAUAUUUGAGUAGUGUCCUCUGGGGCAACUGGUACAUUAGGACUCAGAAAAUUAAUUGCCAGACUUGCACCUAAUUGUACAACAAAGCAGUAAACCAAUUCUGGAAAACCACAGUGAGGACUAAUUCAGAAGUGUCUUAACACAGAAUACGAAGAACGUUCUUUCCUCCUCUCAGCUCCAGAUUUCUACCCCAAAUGUUAAAGAAGAAACCUUAAACUUGUCUGAAUUACAAGCAAAACUGUCAGCCUCCCUCAAAAUGGGGAAAGAAAGUACUUCUGAAAUGCUUAUGCAUUAUAUAACAUGUACCCAUAUAUCAUUUAUACGGACAUUAGCAACUUGUGUUAUUUCCUCAUUUUGGAGGUGAUGCAUUAAAAGUGAAAAUGCCACUACUGCCAUUUUCUUCUUACAUAAAGCAGCUUUGUGUCUACAGUGCCUGUGUGCAGAUCUUCUCCAUGAUUUUCAAAAAGCUGAUUGAAGGCCAUUGCAGUAGCUUGGGUAGGGUGGCCAAACAGAUGAAGAUGGCAUAUAAAGAGCCUGGUUGGCAGCAAUGCCAAUUUCAUGCACAUGCCCUGCCUUGAUUAAAGUAGAGAUGUUUGCAUAUGUCUUGUGUCCAAAGGCAUUUUUGAUGCACAUCUCCUGCUGAGCCAGCAAAGCUCCUCUCACGCCUAUUGCUUUUGCAUAGCAGAUACACAUUAAUGGAAGCAGUCAGAGCAUGCAUCUACCUGGUUCAUAAUUUGCACAUCUCUGGAAAUAUCCUUAAAAUGCAGACGAAGUUUAAAAAGAAAUAGUAGAGAGUUGCAAAAAAUCCAGAUUAACAGUUGAAAGUUGAAAUAGUUUAUCCUCUUACACAGGGGUAUUAAUUACAAAGCGUAUCUUCAGUCUCAUUUGCAGAGUUUCCCUUUCGCUAUCUGGAACCUGAAGCAGUAGAUUAAUGAGAGAGGCUGGGAAGGUGCCACCUUGUAAGGAGCUGCAUGGAAACGAACCACUUAAAAGGCACAAACAAGUUUUAUUGCAACUGUCAAACCUAGGAACCAUGUAAUGUCCUACUAUAGAAUAUACUGUAACUAAUGAACUAUUUACACACAUUUAUUGUGCUGUUGUGUUUUGUUUUCAGAUGUCCAUAUGUAAGAAAACAUUUUGAAUUUUCUGCUAAAGAUAUCCAAAUUAACAUCUAAAGGAGUUUUUCCCCCCUUUUUAUAUUGUCUCUGGGUUAUAUGGGUGCUGCGAGGCUGCUCAGCCCAUUCUGUAGAGAUUCCUGCAUAAAUGUUAUUAAUAGAGUGCAGGAGAGGAUGAUAGAUAUGAGUCUUACAGAAAUGAAGCUAAUACUGAGACUCACUGUUUUCAUUUCCUUGUGCUUUUGCAUUUCAAUUUCAUAGCACUGAAACUCUUGGUGGGCAUAGUGUAGAUGGAUGGGUUGAUGGUGGAACUGGAAGAUCUUGGUGGUCUUUUCCAACCUUUAUGAUUAUUUGACUCUGUGACUUCAGAGAGGACAAAACACCACUCCUAUUCACAAUGAAGGAGCCACCUCCGAUAGCAAGGCUUUGCCACCACCGCGGGACACCGAGUGCCGUGAGCGGUGCUGAACUGAGCAAUGAGGAGGAGAUGGCUGCACACAUAGCAUGGAAGCUUUGACUUUAUGAGGGCAUGCUGUCAUCCAGCACAAGUCUCACCUAUCAAAAAGGAAAAACGUACUGAACUGAGGGAUCCAGCAUGGAACGAGAUGACAGGUGAGGCACAGCAACACAAAUAGGCAGCAGUGAAUUGGACAAAUCUGCCACCUGCAAGCAGAGAGCAUGAGCUCAGCUAGUGCAAGAAUCUGGUGGCUCUGUGCUGCCCUGCUGGAAGGUCUCCUGACGCCUCCGGACUCCUGCUUCCCUGUAACCACUCCAGUCUCUUCCUGUCACAAUGAAAUCAUUCCUGCUGCAGUGAAGGGAUUAAUUAGGUCUACCAGUACUUCACUACCCUCAAUCCUAACUGAAAAUCAGACAGCUUUUCCUGUUUCGCACGUCUGUGCUCAGAGAUGUGACUGACCUAACGCUUGGCACCUUAGAAAAAUCAUGCCCCAGUGUGGAUCAAGACUCAGGAAACAAAUCCUCUCCAUAACUGCGCAGAGCAGGGCAUAAGCUAAUGCCAGAAUGAUGUGAUGCUUGACGCUUUGACCUUGCUUUCUGUGCAAGACUCUCCAAGCUUCAUACCACUGGGAGCGCAUCAUUUGUGACGAGCAAAAAAGUCAGAGCAACUGGUUCUUAAAAGAUUUGUCAUAGUUUUGCUUUAAAAAUAAUUCAUCUCAUAGCUGAAUUCAGUAUUUUGGGUCAGUUAUAAUUGAAUCUGCUCAGACAGAGAAGUUAUAUGAGACUAAUUACCUACUGUCUCUACUCGAAGUAAAUAUUAAAGGCAAGAAAAAUAAACAUGGGCUGAAGUGUGAUAUGCAAAUCACAUUGAUAACUAUCAGGUUAAGACCAUGAAUUUAUAUUCUUUUAAUCAUUAUGAGGUUUAGAUGGUAUCUCCAGCAAAGAAAAGUCAGUAUGAUGGUAUAUGACUGUCUAUGAUUUGGUCCCUAAUUGCAAACAACAAAAAUACAUUAACCUGCUUGUAUCCUGUGUCUCAUUAUUGUCAUAAAAAUGAUAAGAAAAUUCCUUCUUUGUGAAAUCCAAGCUGCUUUACUCUUUUCAAGGACUGCUUUUGUAAGAAAGGAGAGUAAGGCUUAGGUCACUUAUACUGAAUAUAAGGUAGAGGGAGAUGUUUCAGAAGCAGAGCACUUUAAACAUCUUUAUUCCUACCAAAGUUAAUAAAGUGAAGCCAAUUCUGAGCACUUCUUCAAGCUGCAAUGGAUUUGCUAUUAGUUUUCCUGCAUGAAAAUAUGAUGAAGAACAUAAUUGGAGAAAAGAUAGUUCGAGAAAUAACUUCACAAUGGCAUUACUCUCAAAGAAAAGACAAAAUCAAAAUAUCCUGGGUCUGGUUAAGGCAGGCAAGGACUUAAAAUGAGACUGGGCAUGAAAGGGAUGGAGAAAAGAAUGGGGUGUAAGUUAUGACAUUUUCACCUUUUCAUAUGCAAAUUCUUGAUGAAAAAUCCUUAGAAAAAGAAGCUAGAGUAACUUUCAAAGAUCAGAACUACCUUCUUUUCCUUUUCUCCUUUUUCCUUUUCCUUCCUUUUUUUAACUUUUUUUUUUUUUUUUAAACUUUUCUUCUCUGUUCCUGCAGGGAAGUGUUUAUAGGGACACAUGAGAUCCUGACAGACAUUUCCACUGACCCUCUUACAUGAGAUUUGGCUCAACCGCUCUCCUCUAAGACGGUCUGUGAUUUUGGCAGCCCGAGGCCCAGGGUCCCUUCCAGGGCUGCUGGGCCUGCAGCCACCAUACUGACAUUGGCCCCUUGUAACUGGGAACAGUUAGUGGGAGCUCCUAAAAAUACACAGAAGCAAACAAGGAGCUAAUGCUGCUGCUUUGUGCUCAGAGAAGAUGCAUUAUUCAUACAGUACAUAGACAAAAUAGAGAGAAGAUGCCUGGCAAAGCCCCCAGAAUGGCUUAGUUACCCUCGAGUAAAAACUUCUAUUUGUUGAGUAGACUCCAUAAAUAUAGCAGGACUCCUGAAAUGUCCAGAUGUUUCUGAGCAGAUGAAGAAUGUUCUCUUUCUGAAAGCUUACUGAAUUUUUUAUUAUCUCAUGCACUGUUUGCGUGGGCAGGUCUUCUGAGUGAGUCAGAGCAAACAGCAAUCACUGCUGCAGGUAUCCAGCGAGAGAGGACAAUUCCUUAACCUGGGAGCUCCUAAAGAGGUCCUAACGUGCAGAGUGCUGAUACAUACACAGAAAAUAAUCACUGAAUCAAUGAGCUAAACUUCUCUGAGGGACCUUAACGUAGCCGUGCUGUAAAGAAAGGAUUACUUAGCAUUGAUAGCCAUGCCCUCAGAUAUAGCCGUGGUGGUGUGCUCUCAGGCACACAGACCUCGCUCUUCCAUGGGAGACACAAUGCCAUAGGAAGAUUCUGGAGUUAAGGCAGAUAUUGAGUUAGCCCUCUCUAUUGAAUUGGAGUUUUUGCAGAUGGGAAAUAGUUUCUUCUCCAUGGUAAUUCUUUAGUAAUGCCGCUCCACUUGGACCAAUUUAAACUGGAAGAAAAAGGUCUGCCUGUGAUAUCUCUGCCUCAGUAGGACAGCAUGACCAGAUUUAUAUCUUUACCUUGCAUUUUUGUCCGGAGGGCUUACGCUUUCAUCUGAUUAUGCUCUCUCUUGUGAGAUUCUCUCUAUGCUUAAAAUAGAAAAUACCACUAACCCCAGGACUGCUGAUAGGGCCGGAGUGCCUCCAAACAGCAGUCUUCUGCGUUCACUCUCCCUUACACCAACCCUGCAUCUUCUCUAUUUCUGCUACUACCACCAACUUAGUGCCAGCCAUAUGUAUUUAAGGGGUUGAGCUGGCUUCCUUGACUUGAUAAUCAAUGUGUGAUUAUUUUGUGGUUUUCCAUGUGGAUUUUAGUUUCUCCAGUUCCUGCUUCUAUUGCACACUAAAGAUUUCAUUUACUCGAAUGCUGCUUUUGUAUGCUUUCUUUAUGGAGCAUAAAAGAACCUAGAAUGAUUUUUGAGUGUGUCUAUACGCUUGUUAUAUGUAUUUGUUCAUGCUUUUCUGAAGCUACACACACCUGCACGUAUAUAUGUAUUUACAUUCCUGUAACUGUGUGUAACCAAAAUGAGAUGAUGAGCUGAUGAAGACCACCAGCAAAUAAUAUAAAAUAAUAUAGUAGUGCAACCUUAAUGCAGUGUUCAGAGUUGCACCUUGACUCCAGCCAGGACUGAUCAGACUCUGCUUAGUUCUGAAACAUCAGUCACUGUGUAUGACAGCCUCCCUCACCCCUUCUCUCCCUUUGCUCUUGUAAUGCAUCCUUGCAUGUAAGCCAGCUUGAGCAGCUGGAAGCUUGACUGCAACCUAACCCCAUUUUGAAUCAUGCCCAAGAUGCAACAGCCAGAUUUCUUACUGCACUAUUUUAAAGCAUAGAUGCAAGAGGCAUCGGCAUCUAUGUUUUGUGGCCCAGCAAAUGUCAUGGCAAGGCAAGUGGGAUGGAUGGCUCCUCCCCAGGUGCAGGGUUGCAAAUCCAGUUCACCCCUUCCCUACCCCUCAAGCCAUGUGGCAGGCUGUCUGGAAGCAUAGCAUUGUUCAUCACAUUAAUGUUCAGCUGUCGUGGAUGUGAAGAGGAAGUCAAGGGCUCACAGAACAGAAGAGAUGGACAGAGCAGACCUUUGAGGAGGAACAGCUUUGCAGCUUAGCAGUCAGCACACGACCUGGGGAAAGCCAACAAGGAGCUGGGAGCACUUCUUAGACACACAACAUUAAAAAGCUGUUACGUAAAACCCAGAAACCAUGCAGGGUCAAGAGGCAGGACCUGAAGUUUCUCUUGCCAGCCCUGUGCUCACCUUCAUCUUCCCUGCAUCAUCACUGAUAGCUCUCCUGUCUCUGUGCAGUAAGGUGCCCUUGCCAGGAUAUCUGUCAUUUUCAUCAGUUCCCAUCGCUCAGCUCUUCAAAACUUCCUACUAGUGUCAUUUAGGCUCUCUCCUUCUCAUUGGCUCCUUCUAGCUGCUAACAUAUACCAGCAAUUUUCACAGUCGCCUGCUUUCCAUCUGUUACAGUUUCACUGAUGUUUUUUUGUCUGACUUCCUCUAUGAUCUCAGCUUGCUUUUGUUGAAGUUAUACACUUUUCCAUCCUUGCUGUGAGUUUUUGGAUUUUUAGGCAUCAAAUAAAAAAUCUCUAAACAGUUCUUAACCACAUUUCACCCUAUUUCAGUUACAUCUCACAGAUGAUUCAAUUCAUAACAGCUUUCGGUUUGGUGACUUCAGAGGUACACAGAUAAUUGAUUGGGAUUUUUUCCUCAUGGUAUAUAAUGAAUGUAAUCCAGUCACGCUCUCUUGCACCUUAAGUAUUUCCUAACUUCCAGGCACGUGGUCAGUCCUUAAGCAGUAGUGCUCCCAGCUCUGCCAGCAACACUUUAAAAUGCCCUUUAUAAUUUCAAACAGUUCUGAUGCUGGAGUAUCCCAGCACAAGCCCUCCUGCACCUGCCAGACCCUUGCCAGCCCACCUGAAAGCUCCCCUCCCAGAGCAACAGGAAAGGAGCUCCAUUUCCACUUGGUUGUGCAGUUUCCCUGUCCUCAGCCAAGGGGAUCCUUCACCAUGUGUGCUGACCCUCUGGGCUGUGAACCUGCUUCAGUGUUGUCUCCCUCUAAGUGGGCCACGGAACUUUGAUUCUAGCAUUUGCUGCCCUCUUGUUUUUACGCUUUCCAAAUCAUCGUUACUGCUUUGCACAUACAAGUUAUAUGAAGCUUUUGGGUUUCAGUGGCAGAAAGGCCAAGUAUAUGUUCAUAACCGAACAGUUCCAGUUCUUUGGCAAUUUAGAACACCUCUUUCAGUCCCUUGGUGUCCUGACCUCACAUGGAGCUGAUUCAAAUUUUUAAUUCAUCCCGUGGCUAAAAGCUUCUUGUCCUCAGUGGCAGAAUGGUUAGAAGGCAUUUCAAGAUUGCCUGAAGACAACCGCAUUCAGGACUACUCUUUGGCAGGGAACAUCUCAAGUCAUGCAUCCCUCACGGCCCUGUCUCCAGAGUUCACGCUUGGUAUGCCUACACUUGAGAGAGGAGCUGCAGGCCCUCAGGGUUUUCUUUCAUCACUAAGGACAAAGGCAAGAGAUGCCAAGCAGCAUCAGAAGAGCCAAUCACAGUGCUAUGAACAAAAGGUCCCCUAAUGCCUUGGAUAAGACCAGCAAUUUCACAGUCUGCAGAAGGGAACGACUGAGGAAAUUCUGUGGAAUUCAGUAGAAAUCCUGAACAUUUUUCAUUACGAUAAUAAAAGAAACGAAGCGUUAAGUGGGAAGGAAAGGUGCUGAAGGCUACAAGAAAAGCAUUGCCUGCUUUACCAGUAACAGUGGUUCUGAGCAGUAGGCCUAGGUGCCUAGAGAAAAAGGAGCGUGGGCUUCGCUGAGAGGCCUACAAUGGCACCGAGGAGCCUUCAGAGAUGAAUGGCAGCUGAUUUCCCACAGAUCGAUGAUUUCCUGAGACAGAUUUCAUUCUGAAGCAGCGAACACAAAAUUUACAUAGCCAGAGUAUUUUUUACUGAAGUGAAAAUUGAAACAGCUAAACUGUGUUUAUGCAUGUGUAUGCAUAUGUAUCAACUUUCCUUCCUCACUUGACAUGAUUGCAAAAGAAAUUUCCAUCCUGACUUUUCACACCCACAUGGGUACAGGAAGAAGAAAUUUAAAGGUUGCUUGAAUUUAUGUAUCCACUGUGAAAUUCCUGAGUACUGAAAAGUACAUGUUGGUGAGGAGAUAUGAGUGCUGUGUAAUUUACUGUGUGAGUGCUUCCAAGUGAAAUGUUACUGUACAUCACAUCGCACUUCUUACUGAGUGGGAGUUCACCUUGCUUAUCUUUGGCCAAAGUUUUGCAGUGACAUUCGCUGUGCAAAACCUACCCUUUACCUUAGCUAAGUGGUGCUAUAGAAGCAAUAGUUAGCAGCUGGAAACACCUAAACAGCAUGGAGCAAUUUCCUGUGUUUAACAGACAAGAAUGUAAUUUUACCUAUAUAGUUAUUUGUUUCAAUUUUAAGUUAUUCAUUGGAAUCAAAUCAUGAGAAUAGAGUACUUCCAGUAAUUUCCUCAAUUAGGAAAUGAAACGUGAAAUUCUUAAAACCAGUUUUACAAUAAGUAGUGGAGGAGAUGCUCAAAAAACCUCUGACUGAGACUUAUUCAAUGCCAGAGAUACUCAGAAUGGGCUUUAAACCAUAAAAUUCACACGUUAACUUGAAUUUCAUUUCUGACUGGUUGGCAUGACUGGCUUAUCACCAUGUCUGUGUGUUUGCAUGUCUAAGUGUAAAUAAGUGCAUUUUCCUUGCCUUAUAAAGACAAUGUCAUAGAUUUGACUUUUCUGCCUUGGGCAGCAAGCCCCACAGAUGAUUAUAUGGGGAUAAAACAUAUGUCAAAGAAAAUGUUUCUUAGCUCUCUUGAAUGCAGUGCCAAUUAUGUCAGGCUAGCUCUUACUGCUUUAAAUUAAAACCAUACUUCAUCUCAGAAUUAAUUUAAUUUUCUGGAAUAAAUGCGCUUAAAAAAUCCAACUUGGAUUCUCCAAAGGAUAAGGGUCAGCUAUUCAGGGCAUCUGAAGAAUAGCAUAAGAGUCAUAUUCAGGCAGCCUAAAUUCAACCCGAAUCACUGUGCUCAGGAUUUCUUAUCAACCUGCUGUAAGUCUGUAGAGCACAGGGACUAUUCGACUCCUGGACCGAGAUGGAAUUUAAAUCCUGGAUAUUCAGCAAACCAUUUCCUAAUUCUUUAUGUUACUGAAGGAAGUGACCCUAGCAAGACUUGAUAGGCAUUAAAGGGUGGCCUAUUUAAACAAAGGGCAGCCCUCAGUUGUCAGUGAUUUUCACUAGUCUUAAAAGAGGAAAACAAUCCUUAUAUCUAUUGAAAAUCUACUUCUGGAUCUGCCCCCUAAAACAGUAUUAUCAGAAAGAUGUAUUUCCCUUGCUUUUGUAAUGCAAAGGAAUCAUAGACAUCUUUGCUUUAAGAGGCAAGAAAGGUAACUAAUUCUAUACUGUCAAAAAUUUUAUCUUUUGAAAAGUAGGGUGAUGAAUCAUAGCCAAAAAAAAGCCCCGUGGCCCCGGCUCCAAAAACCAAACAAUCCAGCAAAAAUAAAGAACAAACCAAAUCCUAUUGGUUUGUCAUCCAUCUGUGUUUCAAACAAUCAGAAACAACAGCAUCACGUAUCUUCUGGUCUAUACCUCCCUGGCCAUUCUAAUUAAUACUGGCUCAAGGCAGUAUUUAUUUCUUAGCUCGUGAGAUAAUAGGUUAUUGACUGACCUGUGAGGUAAUAGCCAAUUCUGUGUCUCACGUAGGAAGUGAUUGUGUGGAUUGAAGUUUGCCAUUGAUUUUGCUUCCAUACACUCAGGGGGACCAUCUAUAUAACUGUCACAUAAAUAAGAAGAAAAGGCCCUUAGUGACAUUUACUGACUUCUGAAGAUUCCUCACCUGCAUCCACUUGACAUUACUGUGGCCAGACCAAAAACCCACUGAACUCACCACUAACUUCAGUGCAGUUCACCAGACCUUCCUUAUAUGAAGCAGGGAAAUAGGAAGAGCUGACAACCUGAAGUCAUGGACUGGUGCAACAAUAAUGUAGAUUCUACAUCUUCUUCAUCCUGUGCUAUUUGCCAUCUCCUAACUGCACGGAUUCUGAGGACCCAUGAGAAGCAUGAAAUAUCUGUAGUGGUAUCUUAAAGGACUGAAAAAAAGCAGAGAGAGAUUAAAAUCAGAUACCAGUGGAGCUUUAAGUGCAAUGAAUUGAAAGGAAAUAAGGAAAGGUGAGCAUACGAUCACAAACACAGAACUUGGUACAAUUUAGGAGCUCCAUUCUACUGAAAGCUUCAGGAGUAGACAAACUGGUGUCACUGCAGAAUAUUUGGUAAAAAAGUACUUGUUUCAUCUGUAUCGUUUUGGUUAUUCAAAAUCAUAAACAGUGCCUUGGAGAGCAGAACGAGGAUAAAUAGAAAAGUUUCAGCUUUUCUGAAACACGUAUUUCUGUAAUGUGCUUCAGAAAGAAGGAGGUUUCAGUGAGUCAGUGUGCUGCUGCAAGAGUUGGAGUUCCUCUGGUAAAUUUUUGUCACGGUGGUAAUUGCAGAAAUAAGCAGUUCCUCCACCACUCACCCAUUUAUACCUCUCUCAAUAUUAAAUUAACUAACUCCCUUUUGGGAGCCAUUUGGAGAAUGAUCAGCAAAAACCAAACGCAGAAAAUUACUGAAAUCUCUGUUGCAUUCUUCUGUUGGUAUUACUGGGAAAUAUCAUCCGUUUCUUCUGGCCAGUGAUUUUCCCAGAUGCACAGAUCAUUUGCUGGCUGCCCUGCUUAGACCCAUGUCCUGUCUAAAGCCAAAGCUUACAAAGGCUCUUUGAAAAGUCUUUUUGAGACGGUGUGCUGGCUAAUUAAACAUUUAUUAAACAUCAUAGUAGCUUGAGAAUUAAUUUCACCUUCCUGUUUCUCAAGCCUCAGCUCUUUUCUAAGCUUUGACUGUACCCCUGACUUCAGCUGCUUGCCUGGCUUGGUUAGGAUUUCCCAGUUUGCUUGUACACCUGUGUGUCAUUUGCAGGGAAGAUGCUGCUCAUUAAGAUACACGAUGGGGAUCUUAAAAGGCAUUCAUUUAUUUGACAAAAAGGCAUAUUGGAACAGUACUACUAGGUGGCACGUGCACCUUGUUUUUAUUAAGUCACGUAGUAGGGAAAAAAUUAAUAUAAAAUCCAAGGAGAACAUUGAAAGCUAAUUUGCCUUAAGGUACAGAAGCUUCUGAAAAACUGCUAUUUUUUAUUCAAAUAUUACAGGGACAUAGCAUUUUUAUUCUCUCAUUUAUGUCAUUUAGGAUAGCUAAUGAUAUAUUAUUACACGACCCAAAGCCAGCGUUGCGUUCUCUUCCUUGUAUCUGGUACUGCUUUUCCAACUACUUUGUUCCACCCAAACCAUUUCAGAUACAGUCUCAAUUACAGAAAAUAAUAGGAUUCCUGAGGAGGUGUAAAUGCAUACCGUGGCAUGGCUGUCCUGCACUGAAAUAGCUGAAGAGCCUUUCUGCAUUUCCACAACAUGGGCUGAGGGUGCUCACGUGCCUUCCAUAGAACAAUCUUCAAGGAUUUUGUGCGACAUCAACGUGCUAAAUACUAUCUGCCUGAACUGGGGAGGAUGUCUCACAGUUUAAUUGAGCACAUUCAUUACAAUUGCCAAGGAAGGACCAAUAUCUGCUUUCUUUUCCUGUGAAUUCAAUACAGACCCAACAGCAACUGUAAGAUCAAAUCCCAAGGCCAGGUAUGGGGCAUUUGUUAUAUGAUAUUGAAUUUUUCAGCCAAGGCUUGAGCAGGUCAUGCUAAUUAAUGAAGAAUUUUCAGAUGGAUGCCCAUGAUUUCAAUGAAGCCAAUGCUUUUGGGAAAAAAUAGUCUGCAACGUCAAAAGAAAUUGGUUCUAUUUUGUCAGAAUAAAUAAUUUAAAUGAAGUACACAGUAUUUGUAACUUGACUGGUAUCCUGUCUAUU